rnacentral:rRNA from 1 species
CCUACGGGUGGCUGCAGUGGGGAAUAUUGGACAAUGGGCGCAAGCCUGAUCCAGCAAUGCCGCGUGUGUGAAGAAGGCCUGCGGGUUGUAAAGCACUUUUGUUCGGGAAGAAAGCUUGCUGGUUAAUACCUGGCGAGGAUGACGGUACCGAAAGAAUAAGCACCGGCUAACUUCGUGCCAGCAGCCGCGGUAAUACGAAGGGUGCAAGCGUUAAUCGGAAUUACUGGGCGUAAAGGGAGCGUAGGCGGCUUUUUAAGUCGGAUGUGAAAUCCCCG